AGCUUUUAUCUUAAUUACACGGCGGUUUCUCUGUUUCUGUCCCUGCCGCGCAAACAGACAUAAAACGGGGGCAAAAGAAGGAAAAAGAAAGAGAUUUAACAAAAAACAGCAGGAGAAUGCAGGUGCGCGAAUUCAACAAAACAGAAUAACACGGCUGCCUUGUACACAGAUACAUCUGAAUUAUAGUAAAUGAAAUUGCAGGUGUAACUAGUCAAUUGGUACUUCUACCUCCAUCUUCAAACCAGGGUGGUCCAGGAUCUGAAAACAUCAGCAAAACACAAGUACAAAGCUAUAAGGAGACAGAUUAUUGAGUACUGAAAAGAAAAAGAUGAAUUUAACAAUACAAUAAACCAAUUAAUAAAUUGAAAUCAAAUGAUAGCGGCUUCAAAACAUGUGUAUUUUGACUUUAAUAAGAAGUAACAGCAUCCAGAAGCAUAUUCGCUGAGAUAUGGCCUUACCAUGUACCAUUACGGCAUUUCUCAAUGUAAAUCUUAGAAAAUUUCACACAUCAGAAUGAUUCCAAGGAACAUGAACCGUGUCUUCUUAAUUAUAACAUACUUCCAAUCUUUCUCAUUAACAUAUCGCUCACCCUCCAAUAGUAAAUAAAAAUCACUUAUGGUUCUGUAUUCCACGCCCUUAAAACAUAAAUGUACCUUAAUGAAGUCAUUCAGAAGCAACCAUGAGUCCCUUGUAUAACCAGCCUCGUGCAAGACCUGGCUCAACACUUCCUGCAAUCCAGAUCAAACAAACACGAUGAAAUUGAUACAACCCCGCUGCAUAAACAUGAAAGCUAAAUUCACAUUACAUUCAGAAAGUACAAGUUUUUCUACUCGAGGAUAGAGACUAACUAAUGUUAAGAGAUACAAAGAAAAUACUCAAAAUAUUUAGUCAGUGCUGUAUUAGCAAAGAGGUCUAGC
rnacentral:lncRNA from 1 species